rnacentral:rRNA from 1 species
CGGAGGGUGCAAGCGUUAUCCGGAUUCACUGGGUUUAAAGGGUGCGUAGGCGGGCAGGUAAGUCCGUGGUGAAAUCUCUGAGCUUAACUCAGAAACUGCCAUGGAUACUAUUUGUCUUGAAUAUUGUGGAGGUGAGCGGAAUAUGUCAUGUAGCGGUGAAAUGCUUAGAUAUGACAUAGAACACCCAUUGCGAAGGCAGCUCACUACACAAUGAUUGACGCUGAGGCACGAAAGCGUGGGGAUCAAACAGGAUUAGAUACCCUGGUAGUCCACGCCCUAAACGAUGAUUACUCGACAUCAGCGAUACACUGUUGGUGUCUGAGCGAAAGCAUUAAGUAAUCCACCUGGGAAGUACGACCGCAAGGUUG